rnacentral:rRNA from 1 species
GAUGGGCGCGGUGGCGGCGAGCGGCGCGAUUCACGACGCGAUCGUCGGCGGCGCGCCGGCCGGCAUCGAGCUGUUUCACGGCUACACGUAUUCGGGGCACCCGCUCGCGGCGGCGGCCGCCGUCGCGACGAUCGAUCUGUACGAACGCGAAGGGCUCCUCACGCGCGCCGCGCGGAUCGCGCCGAUCUUCGAGCGCGAGAUCCACAAGCUGAAGGACGCGCGCCACGUGAUCGACGUGCGCAAUCUCGGCCUCGUCGGCGGCGUCGAGUUGACGCCGCGUGACGGCAAGCCGGGCGCGCGCGCCUACGAAGUCUUCGUCAAGUGCUUCGAGAAGGGCGCGAUGAUCCGCUACACGGGCGACAUCCUCGCGUUCUCGCCGCCCCUCAUCGUCGAGGAGGCGCAGAUCGUCGAGCUGUUCUCGAUCGUCGCGCAGGCGCUGAAGGAAACGGAGUAGGCGGAGCGCGGCAAACGGGCGCCGCGCUCAGGGAAACGGGCGGCGCGCCCGGGCGAAGCGGCGCGCGUCGCGCGCGCCGCCGCGAUGCGCGCUCAGUAGCGCGGCACCGCGGGAUCGACGUCGCGCGACCACGCGUCGAUCCCGCCUUGCAGGUUGUAGAGCUUCGUGAAGCCGCGCGAUUCGAGGAACAUCGCGACCUGCGCGCUGCGCAUCCCGUGAUGGCACACGCAGACGAUUGCCGCUUCGUCGUCGAGCUCCUCGCUGCGCGCGGGAAUCUGCUGCAUCGGGAUCGAUACGCUGCCGUCGAUCUUCGCGGUCGCGAUCUCCCACGGCUCGCGCACGUCGAGCACGAUGGGCGCCGGGCGCGCCGGGUCGCGCAGCCAUUCGGCGAGGGCGGAAGCGCUCAGGAUCUGCAUCGGCACGCGCGGCCUCAGAACUUGAAGCGCGACGGCUCGAUCGCGUUGACGAGGUGAUCGACGUAGGUCUCGAAUACGUCGGCGACGCGAUAUUGCGUGUCGUCGAUGCGUGUGAUGAUCUGCGCCUUCAUCACCGGCCGGCCGCCGACGAACGCCGCGAGGCGGCCGCCCACCUUCAGUUGCUCGAGCAGUUCCUGCGGGACGACGGGCAGGCCGCCCGACACGCAGAUCACGUCGUACGGCGCCUUCGCGGGCCAGCCGCGCGAGCCGUCGCCGAGCACGACCUCGGCGUUCGUCAUGCCGUUCUUCUUCAGGUUCUCUUCGGCGAACUUCGCGAGAUCCGGAUCGAUCUCGACCGUCGUCACGCGCUGGCCGCGCGCGGCCAGCAAGGCCGCCAUGUAGCCGCCGCCCGCGCCGAUCUCGAGCACGUUCUCGUGCUUCUUCACCGCGAGCUCCUGCAGGAUGCGGGCCUCGACGCGCGGGAACAGCAUCUUCUGGCCGCUCGGCAGCGGCAGCUCGACGUCGGCGAACGCCAGGUCGCGAUACGCGGCCGGCACGA